GCCACAUCAUUCGACCAAUCAGAAAAUUUUAAUUAACUCUGAAAAAAUUUUGAUUGGUGGAGUGAUGUCAUCUAAUCAUAUCAGAUAAGAAUCCCCACAAUCCCUCCUACUGUUGGUGCCAACACUGAAUAAGCACAGUGAGAUUUGCGCCCCACAGUCCAAGUUGAUCAAGGGAUCAGAGUCCUGAUCUCAUAGAACUCUGUCCUUAUCCACUUG
rnacentral:lncRNA from 1 species